UUGCCGAUGGUCGAGUCGCCGGAAGCCCAGUCGUAGUACGGUUUCCAGCAGAUGUCCGAGAACUCAUGUCCCAGACCUAAUGUGUAGAAGCCGGCGCUAUGAUCGUUGUCGGUGAA
rnacentral:tRNA from 1 species